AUAUAAGACUCGGUCUGCAACACUGAUCAAAAUUAUUGAGUAGCUGAAUAUAAUUGGCUACAAUGGGCUAAAAUGUCAUGAGUUUAUUUACGUUGUGGUCAUAUCUGCUUUGCUCUAAUAAGGAUCUUGCACAAAGCUUGAAAAUUCCUUUGUCACCAAGAAAAAUAAGAGUAAAACCAUUUCCACUUUUCCCUGAGGGCUACCCAGAAUUUGAUCCAACAUUGAGACUAAAUUAAAUUUUUGAUGUCCCAAAUUAAAGAGAGAGAAAUCAGGGUUAGCGAGAAUCUUUUCUUUAGGUGGGUUUUGUAUGCUGUCCUGGAGGAUUCUAUUAAAGAUCACCAUGGGAUUUACUCAUUCCACGGUAGGAGUCUAGGAGCGGAUAAUAUUUUCCCCUGUGGUAUGUGCUAUAUAAUAUUUGCAGAUAUUUACACAAAACAUCCACAGCUGAAGCCCCUCUACACACACCCCUCACAUCAGCACACACAUUCACACUCUUUCCAGCUGCCCGCUAUAUUUAAAAUCAUAGUAUUUUGUCACAAUAUUUCUCCACUCUUGGAUUUUGUUUGGUGUAAAGCUCUGAAUUAAAAUAUAAAUACCAUCCCCAAAUACCAAUUAUAGCAAUUAUCCAAUUAUUUUUAUUAUAAUGUGAAUUUGGGGGUUUCUAUCAAUGUUUCUAUCAUUCAUAGCUCCUCUAAACUGUAUAGAAAUCAUUAUAGCAAUUUUUUUGCUUUUUCCACUAGGAAUUCUCACUUUGUUUAGGAUAUGUAACAAAAACAAACAAACAAACACACAAAAAACCCACCCACCAGGACUCACUAGUUUUAAUCAAAUUUAAGCCAUACAAUCACUGAUAAAACAUAUGGUCCGACAUAAAAAUCUGCAAAGAGGUAAAUGUGUGUUUGUGUGUGUGUGUGUGUGUGUGUGUGUGUGUGUGUGUGUACACAUACAUAUAUUCUCUAUAUAACUAUAUGCAUAUAAUCUAUAUUCUGCUCUUAUUUUUAGCACCCCAGAUGUUUUAAUUUUUUAUUGAUGCUUAGAAUAAAACCAAAUGGACCUUAUAGCUAUGUUUUUCAAGUCAUUGCCCCUAUACAAAAGAGAAGGUUAGCUAUCAAAGCCAAAAGAGGAGCUUUUAGUCCAACAGUGGGAGAAAGACUUAUUACAUGGUCCCCAAAUGUACCCACAAAGUUUCCAUCAUUACCAACGGUUUCUGAGCCCAACUACUCUGUUACCCAGGCACACAGAAACCUACAUUAAAUACUUUCAGUAUGUGCUGUUAGAAAACAGAAAGGGCUUGCCACAUGGUAUUGUAUCAUGAUGGGAUGGAGACUCCCUGAAAGAAGAAUUCCUCCUAGAAUAUUUAGUUUGACAAUGGGUAUUCAACCCUGCAUCUUGUGUGUGUGUAUAAAUUCUUUGACAUUUGGGAGAAAAUCCUUAGAUCCUUUGCAGUGAGGCUGACUCAUCAUUUCAGUGCUUUCUCACGAGGACCAGCUGAUGAGCAUUCACUCGCAGGCUCAACAAAUAUCAACUGAAGGCCAAGCAUUAGGCUAAUGGUAAAAUCUAACUCUGCACAUUGUGAGUAAGCAUGUUGGGUUUGGAGGUCUGGCAGAUGGGUAAAGCAUUUGCCUAUCAUUUAUGAAGCCCUUGGUUCCAUCCCAUCAU
rnacentral:lncRNA from 1 species